rnacentral:lncRNA from 10 species
UUUUAUAGCGGGGAGGUGUUCCCUGCACAAGAUCUCUUUCUUUGCUUGCUGCCAUCCACGUAAGAUGACUUGCUCCUCCUUGCCUUCCGCAAUGAUUGUGAGGCCUCUCCAGCCAUGUGGAACUUACCUGUAGUACUUGAAUACGAUCAGCAUCCAGCUUUGUCAACAACUUAGAAGCAGAAUCCAGGCCUUUAUUAUCUGAAGACUGAAAGACUGAAUGAGAAAUGCAUCUGAUCUAAUGCUGAGACAGUCGAAUUUGGGAAUUUGAAAUGCGAUUUACCAGAGAGCAACUUGGGCUUAGCACAUG